AAAUUGUACUAGAAACUUGGUUUAAUAAUUCAUAGUAGAUACAGAGAUUAGCAUGGCCCCUGCUCAAAGAUGACAUGCAAAUUCACGAAGCGUUCCAUAUUUUA
rnacentral:snRNA from 1 species